rnacentral:rRNA from 1 species
AGAAUGAACGCUAGCGAUAUGCUUAACACAUGCAAGUUGAACGUUGUUUUCGAAUCAGAAUGAGAACAAAGUAGCGAACGGGUGCGUAACACGUGGGAAUCUGCCGAACAGUUUGGGCCAAAUCCCGAAUGAAUAAAAGCUAAAAAGCGCUGUUUGAUGAGCCCACGUAGUAUUAGGUAGUUGGUUAGGUAAAAGCUGACCAAGCCUACGAUGCUUAGCUGGUCUUUUCGGAUGAUCAGCCACACUGGGACUGAGACACGGCCCAGACUCCUACGGGAGGCAGCAGUGGGGAAUCUUGGACAAUGGGCGAAAGCCUGAUCCGGCAAUAUGGCGUGAGUGAAGAAGGGCAACGCAGCUUGUAAAGCUCUUUCAUCGAGUGUGCGAUUGUGACAAGACUCGAAUAAGAACGCCCCGGACUAACUCCGUGCCAGCAGCCGC